rnacentral:lncRNA from 1 species
UUAAAAAAUAAAUGGUAAUUUUUAAAUAUGAAAACGGGUAUUAAAAUGUAGUUUCUUAAAAUCAAAACUCCCUUUAUUUUGUUCUGAAAAAAACAAACUAUUAAAAAUUUGAAAACACAAAAUUACUAUUUUAUGCGUACAGAAUAACUUUGAAAAAGUUUUAUUUUUUAAAAAUUUGGUCAACUGCCACAGAACAAAUAGAUAAGUAAACAUUUUUUUAUUCAACCAGUUCGAACAAACCUGCAUGGGACUUUUGUGUUGAAAACAUGUAUAAGGCUUACUUAUUAUAUUAUACUGAAAAUACUCACAGCAUGUCCUUAUAUAUGAGCUUUUGAAUUAAACAGGAUUUUUCUCAAUAUCGCAAAAAUUAAAAUCGCAUAUAGUCUAAAAUGAGAAAAACUCAAAAAUAAAUGUAUACAAUAAUUUCUGAAUUUAUAUUAAAUAGUUUUGAAAUGUUUCCAAUUUACUGAAAUAUGUUAUAUAUGUAUAACGAUAAAAAGUACAUAUUUGAAAUAUUCAUUCGAAAAGCUCCAGUUUGAAAUUUGUAUAAUUGAUAUUGGUGAAAACAUUCUGAUACAAGAUAUUUUUCGAAUGAAUAACUGAUUUACUAGGUGUUUUUUAAAUUGCUUUAUUUUUAGGUGCUUAUUGAAAGAGAAAUCCAGACCAAUCAAUAUAUUUACUAUGCAAAAAUGAAAUGUAAUGUACAAAAUAUUUUUUUGUUCUAGUCGUAUGUUUGUUAAAGAAAUGUAUCGAAAAUCAUAUUUGUGCUUUUGAUACAAAUGAAUGAAACUAUGAAAGUUGGUUUUAUUAUAUUACGUUUUUACCCUAGAUACCUGGAUGUCAGACCUAUAUUAUUUUUUUCAUUUUCUGCAUAAUCAUCCAUAGUGUGGAUUCAUUAUUAUUCGUUGGAUACUAAUUUUCGUAGAUUUCAUGGUAACAGUUAAACCACGAAAUUAAAUGUUCAACGAAAGAUGAAUUUUCCAUAGGUUUGCAUGCAGACUUCAGCAAAACCACGAAAUUAGAUAUCCACGAAUAUGCAAAUUUUCCUAAAUCCACAAAAAUUGGUAUCCAUGAAAAUAAAUGAAUCCACAGUAUUGUUUCUGAAUAAAAAUGUCUGAGUGGAUCAAACUUAACCCAACUGUACAUUAUUUUUAUUGAUAUUUGAAAUUAACAAAAUUAUUUACACAGAUGGAAGAUUUCUCAUUGUGGACUCAUUCUGGAAAUAUUCUAUUCAAAAGUAUCUUUAUUCUAACACAAUAUGAUCUUGUGCAUAAUUUUGUUUUAAAAAGUUCACAAAUCAGAAAAUCUUAAAAAGUGUAUAGAACAUUUGUUGCUGUAUUAUGUUAACUUAUGAAUCUAUGAAGUGCCAAAAUUAGAAACUUACUAACUAGAGUAAUGAUUUUAAAUGAAACGUUCCAUGAAGGAAAUAUAUAUCAUAUUACAGAAUUUUGUUUUUACUUUUACGAAAAAAAUUCUUUGCAUAUCAAGUUAUUUUAAAUGAUUUUAACAUUCACAUUUGUAGCAAGCAUCAAUGAAAUUAUAAUCAUUUGAAAUAUAAAAGUACUGUAAAUUCAAAAAUUAAUGCAACAGGAUUAUAAUUGCAAUUAUUUAAUCUCACAAUUUUUAUUUCUUUUUACUUAAAUAAAACAGGAUUUUCCUCAAUAUUGCAAAAAAUAAAAUCAACAUUUCAGUUAAAAAUGAAAAAAAAUCGCAAUUUUAAAUGCACACAGAGAUAUAUGAAUGAAGUAGAAUAUUAAACAAGUACAGAUAAGGGAAUACUGAUUAGAUUUGAGAAAAUGUGUUAUGUGCUAUGCUCCAAUUUAACAAGUGAGUGUGUGAAGAUUAUUAACCCAAAUUAUUCAUUUGAAAUCAUUUAAUAACACAUAUUGUUAAUUAUUACAAAAUUAGUUAUGUUAUGUUAUGUCCCAGUUAUUGAUUGAUGAAUGCACUUUGCUAAUACAAUAAAAUAUUUAUUUUGUAA